UACGUAGGGUGCUAGCGUUGUUCGGAAUCAUUGGGCGUAAAGCGCGUGUAGGCGGUUAGAUAAGUCGGGUGUGAAAGCCCCAGGCUCAACCUGGGAAGUGCAUCCGAAACUAUCUAGCUAGAGAACGGUAGAGGAAGGUGGAAUUCCUAGUGUAGAGGUGAAAUUCGUAGAUAUUAGGAGGAAUACCGGUGGCGAAGGCGGCCUUCUGGGCCGAUUCUGACGCUGAGACGCGAAAGCGUGGGGAGCAAACAGG
rnacentral:rRNA from 1 species